UACUCCCGAUUAUUUCUCUUAGUCAAACCGUCGAGAUUGGAUCUGAGAUCUCUCGUUCUGGUUACUCCAUCCUCAGGGCGUCAGGACGGCGGCGACACUGCGGAUCACACCGGAGUCCAUCGAACGAACGUACACCGUCUCAGAAGGGCACAAUGAUGAAUUCAACACAAAAUUCUGCUGGUAGGAGACCAAGUACAAUACAUCGUCAACUUGGUAAUGAUAUUUAUGUUCACUUCAAUUUAUGCCAUAGCAGCAAAGGUAAUUUAAGUUAUCUCUAAUAUUUGGUAUAAUUAAGAAGAUCCUGGAAUUCUUAAUCUUCAGAACUGUUAAACCUUAUACAGGAACUCAAGAACAAUCUGACACUCACGUGUCUGCUAAUGACAUGUGUGCACCGGAUGAAUGGCCGUCCCAUGCUCGCCGCAACCAUGCACAGCUGCAGAAUGAAAGUGAUGGACAGAAGAAGAAAGGGCGAGGUGUUCUAAAAGGUUUUAAAUCAAGCAAGAAGCGUUUUGCCAAUGGAUUUGCAAAGCUAAUAUUGCAUUCUCUGAAAAUUUGGGUGGUACAGUAGGAAUGAACUAUCGUUCAUUCAAGGAUGACGUGGUAGUCAUAAUGAAAAGAAAGUCACCACUCAUUGGAGUGAGGAGAUAAUCGGACAUUCACCCUACCAUCCAUCUACUCAUUGCUGCAGAUAUGAUGCUGGGAUUUGGAUGAUACACCAGAAACAGAAGAAACAAUUCUCAAAAUUGCGAAAGAGCGAUAUAGAGGCUGGCGAUCAACUCUAAGCUCCACUUACAAGGCAUAAAAAACCGAUGCGAGUAGAUUGGACAAUGUGCCGGAAGAUUUACAACCAGAAGAGUGGGAAUGGAUGAUUGAGUACUUCGGCACUGAUUCAAACUUUCAGACUUCUAAACCGGAGAAGAGCCAGAUUGUAUUGCUCUUUGGGAACUAACCCACACGAAGAAUGGAACAUGGACUAACAAAGAGUAGCAUGAUGUUUAUGAUCAAAGUAACUGGAAUGGACUCUAGACCAUGGACAAUUUAGUCUUUGCUUUUAAUUAGGAUGGCACAUUCAGUAUGUUGAAUGUGUGCUAAAUUAUAUUUCAGUUUCAUUUGAUGGAUAUUGGCCAUGUAAACCUUGAUGUUUUAUGUAUCUACAAUUCUACAUCAUAUAUGCAUUAUUUGACUCA